CGUAACAAGGUUUCCGUAGGUGAACCUGCGGAAGGAUCAUUGUCGA
rnacentral:rRNA from 17 species